rnacentral:lncRNA from 1 species
GCCAUGAUGCUUCAGCCUCAGCGCGCGUGGGUGUUGUGUUGUUGUGUGCGUGCGUGAGUUUGUUCGUUUCUAACCUAACUUAUCUAUUUCCGGUGAUAACCAGGGUGAUAACAGAUCAUUUCUCUCCGUGUUUCUCUACAUGUUUUGAGGAAGUUUAUCAGUCUUCGUUCUACACACGAGGGGUGAUUAUCAAUUUUAAACUCGUAAUUCUUUUUUAUCUCAGUCGUUUGUGUCAAUCAGGAAGGCAUACAGGAUUAUCACAAGCCACAUGUCAACGAUGUUUCCUACGUGUGUUUCAGAGUUUCUUCUUAUUUUAAACUAGGCAUAGUGAGACUUUAGUCUCUGCUCCAGUCACAGAGCUUGGAGAGUUGAAUCAUUUUGAGAAAAAUGCUGCCCAGCAAGGACGACUCAGUGGAGAGAAAAAUCGGCAAACUUUCAGAGGAUGAAUUUCGGCAAUUGAAGCAAAGGCAGCAGUUGCAAAUUACUUCAAAAGAACUUCAAGAGCUUGAGCAGAAACUGAGAACGGCAUACAUGUACAAAGAACUUGAGGCUCAAAUUGAGGAGCGGAAACUUAACAAGUUACAAGAAAAGUUGCAGGAAGAGUUGUCACAUAAAGUAACUGCUGCGAUUAUCAAAAGUGGAGAGCUGAUGGAAGAGGAGAAAGCUCGUGAAGCAGCCAAGAAGAAAGAGAUUUACAGGAAGUGCCUAGAAAACCAGAUUUACUUGAACGCUGUGCGAAGGGAGGAUGCUUUCAGACAAUUCUUACGGGAGAACACAAUUAUUGAUGACAUAGCUCGGGCUCUCAGAGAAGAAGAGUUGCGAGCUCAAGAAGCUAAGCUUCGAUUGAAGCAACUAACGAAGGAAUCAAUUGAAAGUUUUCUGAAAGCGCGAGAAUUAUGGAAACUUCGUGAAAAAGAAGCACAAGAGGAAGAAGACAGGCGUAUUCGCAAGUACUUGGCAGAAGAACAAAAUUUAGAAGAGAAGAGAAAGAGAGCCAUACAAGAAAAGUUGAAAAACAGGCCAAAAUUCAAGACUUGGCUGCUCAAAAAUUAA